CCUACGGGGGACAGCAGUGAGGAAUAUUGGUCAAUGGGCUAAGGCCUGAACCAGCCAAGUCGCGUGAGGGAAGACGGUCCUAUGGAUUGUAAACCUCUUUUGUCGGGGAGCAACGAGGCCACGUGUGGCCGAAGUGAGAGUACCCGAAGAAAAAGCAUCGGCUAACUCCGUGCCAGCAGCCGCGGUAAUACGGAGGAUGCGAGCGUUAUCCGGAUUUAUUGGGUUUAAAGGGUGUGUAGGCGGAACAUUAAGUCAGCGGUAAAAUCGAGGGGCUCAACCCCUUUAAGCCGUUGAAACUGGUGAUCUUGAGUGGGCGAGAAGUAUGCGGAAUGCGUGGUGUAGCGGUGAAAUGCAUAGAGAUCAUACAGAACACCGAUUGCGAAGGCAGCUUACCAAACUACGACUGACGUUGAGGCACGAAAGCGUGGGGAGCAAACAGGAUUAGAUACCCCUGUAGUC
rnacentral:rRNA from 1 species